rnacentral:rRNA from 1 species
GCCAGCCCGCUCAGAAACUUAAGGAAUUGACGGGGCCCGCACAAGCGGAGAGCAUGUGGUUUAAUCGAUGAUACGCGAGGAACCUUACCUGGGCUCGAACGUAAGAUGACUGUAGGUGAAAGCUUACAUCUCUUCGGAGCAUUUUACGAGGUGCUGCAUGGUUGUCGUCAGCUCGUGCCGUGAGGUGUCGGGUUAAGUCCCAUAACGAGCGCAACCCCUACCUUUAGUUGCCAUCAGGUAAUGCUGGGGACUCUAAAGGAACUGCCUACGCAAGUAGUGAGGAAGGCGGGGAUGACGUCAAAUCAGCACGGCCCUUACGUCCAGGGCUACACACGUGCUACAAUGGCCGAUACAGAGGGCAGCUACCUGGUGACAGGAUGCAAAUCUCCAAAGUCGGUCUCAGUUCGGAUCGGAGUCUGCAACCCGACUCCGUGAAGUUGGAUUCGCUAGUAAUCGCGCAUCAGCCAUGGCGCGGUGAAUACGUUCCCGGGCCUU